UCCUAGGGUACAUGUAGCUCAGUUGGUAGAGCAUGAGACUCUUAAUCUCAGGGUUUUGUGUUCAAGCUUCAAGUUGGGAA